CCUACGGGUGGCAGCAGUGAGGAAUAUUGGUCAAUGGACGGAAGUCUGAACCAGCCAUGCCGCGUGCAGGAUGACUGCUCUAUGAGUUGUAAACUGCUUUUGUACGAGAAUAAUAGUUCUUACGUGUAGGGAUUUGAAUGUAUCUUAUGAAUAAGGAUCGGCUAACUCCGUGCCAGCAGCCGCGGUAAUACGGAGGAUUCGAGCGUUAUCCGGAUUUAUUGGGUUUAAAGGGUGCGUAGGCUGUCGGAUAAGUUAGAGGUCAAAUGUCGCGGCUUAACCCCGUGACUGCCACUGAUACUGUUAGACUAGAGAACAGAUGAAGCAGGCGGAAUGAGUAGUGUAGCGGUGAAAUGCUUAGAUAUUACGAAGAACACCGAUUGCGAAGGCAGCUUGCUAAUCCGCCACUGACGCUGAUGCACGAAAGCGUGGGUAGCGAACAGGAUUAGAUACCCCAGUAGUC
rnacentral:rRNA from 1 species